rnacentral:rRNA from 1 species
GACAGAGGUGCCGAGCGUUAGGCGGAAUCACUGGGCUUAAAGCGUGUGUAGGCGGAUCUGUAAGUACCUUGUGAAAUCCCACGGCUCAACCGUGGAACUGCUUGGUAUACUGCGGGUCUUGAGCCACCUAGGGGCAAGUGGAACAAACGGUGGAGCGGUGAAAUGCGUAGAUAUCAGGAGGAACACCGGUGGUGUAAACGGCUUUCUGGACCAUAACUGACGCUGAGGCACGAAAGCGUGGGUAGCAAACAGG